rnacentral:rRNA from 1 species
CACGUAGGGUGCGAGCGUUGUCCGGAAUUAUUGGGCGUAAAGAGCUUGUAGGCGGUUUGUCGCGUCUGCUGUGAAAUUUCGGGGCUCAACCCCGAACUUGCAGUGGGUACGGGCAGACUAGAGUUCGGUAGGGGAGACUGGAAUUCCUGGUGUAGCGGUGAAAUGCGUAGAUAUCUGGAGGAACACCGGUGGCGAAGGCGGCAUCCUGGACCAAUAUUGACGCUGAGGAGCGAAAGCCAGGGGAGCAAAGCGGGG